AGCUGGUAAAAUGGAACCAAAUCAACUGUUAAAUGGAUUUGGUCCCCUUCAACCAGCUGU
ensembl:miRNA gmo-mir-133a-2 gmo-mir-133a-2